GCUGUAGAUUUUUGGAGGCGUAUCAGGGCUGUGCCAGAUUGACAGGUGAGUGGGAGUCAUGUACUUUGCACCAUGAGCAUCCUUAAUUUAUUUUCAUGAAUGUCGCCAAGUGUGAAUUGAUUCCACUUGAGCAUAUUGAUUGAUAUUGUAGUAGAUUCCUCUAUAAUCUUGAUUCUCCAUGCUUGAUUAUUUUGUACAUGCAUUUG
rnacentral:lncRNA from 1 species